UCCGUGUUGGUCUAGUGGCUAGGAUUUGUCGCUCUCAUGAUAAUGUGAUCCGACAAGGCCGGGGUUCAAUUCCCCGACACGGAA